rnacentral:rRNA from 1 species
AUUGAACGCUGGCGGAAUGCUUUACACAUGCAAGUCGAACGGCAGCACGGGGGCAGCCCUGGUGGCGAGUGGCGAACGGGUGAGUAAUACAUCGGAACGCGCCCGGUCGUGGGGGAUAACGUAGCGAAAGUUACGCUAAUACCGCAUACGAUCUGAGGAUGAAAGCGGGGGACCUUCGGGCCUCGCGCGAUCGGAGCGGCCGAUGUCAGAUUAGGUAGUUGGUGGGGUAAAGGCCUACCAAGCCGACGAUCUGUAGCUGGUCUGAGAGGACGACCAGCCACACUGGGACUGAGACACGGCCCAGACUCCUACGGGAGGCAGCAGUGGGGAAUUUUGGACAAUGGGCGCAAGCCUGAUCCAGCCAUUCCGCGUGCAGGACGAAGGCCUUCGGGUUGUAAACUGCUUUUGUACGGAACGAAAAGGCUCUGGCUAAUACCUGGGGCUCAUGACGGUACCGUAAGAAUAAGCACCGGCUAACUACGUG